rnacentral:rRNA from 1 species
CCUACGGGAGGCAGCAGUCGGGAAUAUUGCGCAAUGGAGGAAACUCUGACGCAGUGAUGCCGCGUAUAGGAAGAAGGUUUUAGGAUUGUAAACUAUUGUCGAAGGGGAAGAAAAAUGACAGUACCCUUGGAGGAAGCCCCGGCUAACUACGUGCCAGCAGCCGCGGUAAU